GUAGGUGGCAAGCGUUGUCCGUAAUUAUUGGGCGUAAAGCGCGCGCAGGCGGUCCUUUAAGUCUGAUGUGAAAGCCCACGGCUCAACCGUGGAGGGUCAUUGGAAACUGGGGGACUUGAGUACAGAAGAGGAAAGCGGAAUUCCAAGUGUAGCGGUGAAAUGCGUAGAGAUUUGGAGGAACACCAGUGGCGAAGGCGGCUUUCUGGUCUGUAACUGACGCUGAGGCGCGAAAGCGUGGGGAGCAAACAGGGAUUAGAUACCCUGGUAGUCCACGCCGUAAACGAUGAGUGCUAAGUGUUAGGGGGUUUCCCGCCCCUUAGUGCUGCAGCUAACGCAUUAAGCACUCCGCCUGGGGAGUACGGCCGCAAGGCUG
rnacentral:rRNA from 1 species